rnacentral:rRNA from 1 species
GAUGAACGCUGGCGGCGUGCCUAAUACAUGCAAGUCGAGCGAAUGGAUUAAGAGCUUGCUCUUAUGAAGUUAGCGGCGGACGGGUGAGUAACACGUGGGUAACCUGCCCAUAAGACUGGGAUAACUCCGGGAAACCGGGGCAAAUCCCGGAUAACAUUUUGAACCGCAUGGUUCGAAAUUGAAAGGCGGCUUCGGCUGUCACUUAUGGAUGCACCCGCGUCGCAUUAGCUAGUUGGUGAGGUAACGGCUCACCAAGGCAACGAUGCGUAGCCGACCUGAGAGGGUGAUCGGCCACACUGGGACUGAGACACGGCCCAGACUCCUACGGGAGGCAGCAGUAGGGAAUCUUCCGCAGUGGACGAAAGUCUGACGGAGCAACGCCGCGUGAGUGAUGAAGGCUUUCGGGUCGUAAAACUCUGUUGUUAGGGAAGAACAAGUGCUAGUUGAAUAAGCUGACACCUUGACGGUACCUAACCAGAAAGCCACGGCUAACUACGUGCCAGCCGCCGCCGUAA